GGGGGCGGGGCCGGACCGCCAGGCUGGACGGUCGCAAGUCAGACCAGCUCCAGUAACACAAUACAUAAUCACUGCUAAAAACGCUGAUUACCACCUAAAACCUGAUCAACCGCGAAGAUACCCAGAGCCGAGGGACUGCUGGACCCGGGGAGAGGCUGGCUCACUGAGCUUCAGUCCCCUGGGGGAGAAAAACAUGUUGCCCCAACCCGGGCCUUCUCCGGCGGUGAGUGAGGCAGACGGCCGCUGCCUCACUAUCCUGCACCACAGAACCAGACCAACGGUACAGACCGGCGCGGAUCCGGCUCCGUUCCCCCCCCUAUGGACCGGGGGGGUGAUCCCGGUCCUCACCCUGCGGCCCUGAAUGUAACUCCGCGACUGAGGCUGAGAAGCCCGACUGCUGCCUCCAAAAUGGCGGGCGUCUUGCACGCAGACAACAAGGGGAACACCUCCCACCUCCUCAUGAUCACACCAAAAACAGCUCCCACAUCCCGAUCCCACUACAUAGGGAAACGGCAAACACAGAGCCUACCCUUAUCACCCAAGCCAGCAACUAGAUGCAUGGGCGACCGGAACAAGCGGGAGUUUGCGGCUGCACCGGGAGGGCGGAACUCCUAACAGCAACCGAUCCCCGCCUGGGGUAACUGCGCCAGCUGCCCGGCAUGACACCUCUGCCGGAAGCACUCACUUACCACUCAGCCUAUAACAGGAUUACCCCGAAAGCGGCGGACUCCCAUGGACAAAGCCCAGCUCUCACGCAUGGCGGACAUCAGCCUGCAGACAAGGGAAGACGGCAAGCGCCAAGGCUGCAACUCGAAUUCACCCAAAGAACUAUGCAGGAGUCUAUGAGGACAAAGUACACUCUGAUGCCUGCUCUGAUGGACACUUGCCCCCUACCACCUGAACACAGCAGAAGAGGUAUCUGAUAAAAGCGGGACUACCCCUGUCUGAGUGGCCUUGGGACCACCAGAAUACCGAUAUCCCCCACACGGAGGCAGCUCUGGGAACUACGAUCCAUCAGGGUGACAGUUGCCCCACAUUGUGUAACCCCACUAGUCUUCAUAAUAUGACCUACCUAGACAUAGUAUAAAAGUUAAUCUAUAAGUUGUAUCUACCAGUGACCGCAAGUUAGCGCAAUGUAUACGGCACUCACAGCAACGUACACUCUUAUUCCACACUACAUCUUAACUGAAGUUACUGAACCUACUGUAUAGCUACAUAACUAAGCCUGUUUACGUUUAGCCUGCAUGAUCUCUAACUUAAAAAUGAGCCACUAGUUAAGUCUACAUUACCUUGACUAACUCAUGUUGUAUCUACAAUACUGUUGCUAGCUUAAUCGUUAAAUAUAAAAUUUCAUGCUGUUUUCCUAAAUGAUGCAAGUAUUAUCUCUAGUAGUCCUCACUAUUAUUUCACAUGUAUCACUG